rnacentral:rRNA from 1 species
AUACGGAGGGUGCGAGCGUUAAUCGGAAUUACUGGGCGUAAAGCGCGCGUAGGCGGUUCGAUAAGUCUGAUGUGAAAGCCCUGGGCUUAACCUGGGAAUGGCAUUGGAUACUGUUGAACUAGAGUGCGGGAGAGGAGAGUGGAAUUCUCGGUGUAGCGGUGAAAUGCGUAGAUAUCGGGAGGAACACCAGUGGCGAAGGCGGCUCUCUGGACUGACACUGACGCUGAGGUGCGAAAGCGCGGGUAGCAAACAGGAUUAGAAACCCGAGUAGUCC